rnacentral:rRNA from 1 species
AUGAACGCUAGCGGCAGGCCUAACACAUGCAAGUCGAGGGAGAAGCCUUUCGGGGCCGAAACCGGCGCACGGGUGCGUAACGCGUAUGCAACCUACCUUUCACAGGGGGAUAGCCCGAAGAAAUUUGGAUUAAUACCCCAUAAUAUUGUUGGAUGGCAUCAUCUGAUAAUUAAAACUGCGGUGGUGAAAGAUGGGCAUGCGUCCUAUUAGCUAGUUGGAGUGGUAACGGCACCCCAAGGCUACGAUAGGUAGGGGUCCUGAGAGUGAGAUCCCCCACAAUGGUACUGAGACAGGGACCAGACUCCUACGGGAGGCAGCAGUGAGGAAUAGUGGUCAAUGGUCGGAAGACUGAACCAGCCAUGCCGCGUGCAGGAAGAAUGCCUUAUGGGUUGUAAACUGCUUUUAUAUGGGAAGAAUAAGGUGUACGUGUACAUUGAUGACGGUACCAUAUGAAUAAGCAUCGGCUAACUCCGUG